UGCUGUAUCUUCACUAUUGCUUC
rnacentral:miRNA from 1 species